AAAGGCUGGAAGACCAUAAAAGGUAUUGCUGUGUGCUAAUAUAGAGGACCGUGAGGCUGACGUAGGAGACUGGCGGUGGAUGCAAGCCAACAGGGUAAGAUUGGGGAAGGUGGAAGAAAUGUCUCCACCCCUUGCUGAUCUCACAGUUGCUGGGUAUAGAUGAUGCAGCUUUGGGGCAUGGCAUUGCCAUCACCAAGACGGGCAAAUCACAAAGGGAACGCAGUGAGUGAGUAGAAGAGAUUUUGGACUUAGUGGGUGAGGACAUCCAAGAGAGCAAGGUACAUGACGACGUGCAGGAAAGAUGAGCCAAGUAAAGAAGAGACUAGAACAACGCUGUGCUAGACUUUCCAGGCUCUGGGGACAGCUGAGGCUAGAACGAUGAGAAAGAGAGAGGAGUGAGCCAGAAGAGGAGAGAGACAAGGGGAAGGGGAGUCUGCCGAGGAAGGAUGAAGACAGAGGGAAGCAUAGUUGGGAAGGAGAAGCGCUAUAAAACCCAGGAGCAAAGCAGACUGGGCUUGUAGCAGAAGGCAGAAUAGCUUGGCAGCUAUGUGACAGACAUGAUGCUGAGCUUGGCUACGUCACUGACACCGUGACUUCAGGUUUCCAGCCCUGUGACAGACAUCUAAAAUAAACAGCAUGCAUAGAGGAAAGGUCUAAUUUUGUUUAUUUUGCUUGUUUGCUUGUUUCAGUCCAUGAUUGGUUUGUCUAGUCUGGUGUGUGCGUGCGAGUGUGGGUACUCACAUGUCUGUCUGUCUGUCUGACUGUGGGUUUGGGUGUCUGUACCUUCCUUUCCACCUUAUUUUCGGAAACAAGGCUUUUCAGUGACUCCGAAGCCUCAGGAUCUUCUCAUUCCGGCUUCCCAGUACCAGGAUUAUAAGCAGUCAGUACUCUGCCUCCCUUUCUUGUUGAAUGUGAACUCUGGUCCUCACAUUUCCAUGCGAUCACCUUACUGAUCGAUGUCACCAGCUCACCAG
rnacentral:lncRNA from 1 species